rnacentral:lncRNA from 1 species
GUGAGACCUCUGCCCUUCAAGAAAUUGAGGAGCAUUUGUGAUCAGCUUACCUGCCUGGAAAAAAACUUGCUUGGCACCCUUUUUUAGCGGGAGAGAAAAGAAGAUCAUGGACUCUGUUCACGUGCGUGCUCUUCACAAAAGAGAGGAGGAAGGAGAGCGAGGAAAAAGAAAAUUACUAAACGUAAGAAAAUUAUGACAGCAGUGAAGAGAGAAAAAAAAUCUCAUCCGAUUUUCGGCUGCCUCUGAGCAUUUCCAGCGAGCGGAGGGAGCAGCUUCUGCUGGUACCCGCAGCGGUGCCGGGAGGUUACCAAGCAACCAGACGGAGACCAGUCGCGGGGGCCGGGGAGAUGGGGAGGAUGAGCAGGAGCGCGGACAAAGGAUUCCUGAAGAUGAAGCGAGGCGUCGCCAUUGUCUGACCUCUCCUUUACUUCUUAUCUUGAGUUGCGGCAGUAUCAGGAGUCAGUGUUCAUUGCAAUGAGGACGAAGGAACUUGCUACUAAUCACAGUGGGGAUUUCCAGUCGCAGGGACGGCGCAGGAGGUCAUGAAGCAGACCUCAGGACCCAUCUGCUAAGUCGGGGCUUGUAUGAGAAAAGCAGAAAGGAAUAUUGUGAAUUCAACACCUCCUCAUCUCCCGAACGCCUGACUUGCUUCCCUGUGGAAUUGCACACCUCGACCUUCGGAGGGCUGGUCAGACAUCCGCGUGGCAAAAAAUAACCCUGUAAGGCUGAAACACCAGAUAGAAACAGGAGAGCAACACUCCCUCGUUCACCUAAAGACCCAGUCAUGGAGGUCAUUGCUUCUGUUGCUCUGGGGCGUUCGGUAGAUUUAACCGCUGACAUGACCUUACCCUCCACAACACAUUAAAUAUAGUUGGGAGAAAAAAAAAGCCUGUUUUAUGCAAAAGUCAGCCACAUCAUACAAACUAGCUGCUCAAAAAAUGCAUAGGCCUCAG